rnacentral:rRNA from 1 species
GAUGAACGCUGGCGGCGUGCCUAAUACAUGCAAGUCGAGCGAACGGACGAGAGGCUUGCUUCUCUGAUGUUAGCGGCGGACGUGUGAGUAACACGGGGAUAACCUCCCUAUAAGACUGGGAAAACUUCGGGAAACCGUCGCUAAUACCGGAUGAUAUUUUUAACCGCAUUGUUCAAGAGUGAAAGACGGUCUUGCUGUAACUUAUAGAUGGAUCCGCGCUUCAUUAGAUAGUUGGUAAGGUAACGGCUUACCAAGACGACGAUGCAUAGCCGACCUGAGAGGGUGAUCGGCCACACGGGAACUGAUACACGGUCCAGACGCCUACGGGAGGCAGCAGUAGGGAAUCGUCCGCAAUGGGCGAAAGCCUGACGGAGCAACGCCGCGUGAGUGAUGAAGGUCUUCGGAUCGUAAAACUCUGUUAUUAGGGAAGAACAUAUGUGUAAGUAAAUGUGCACAUCUUGACGGUACCUAAUCAGAAAGCCACGGCUAACUACGUG